rnacentral:rRNA from 1 species
UACGUAGGGUGCGAGCGUUGUCCGGAAUCACUGGGCGUAAAGGGCGCGUAGGCGGCCUGAUAAGUAGGGGGUGAAAUCCUGCGGCUUAACCGAGGAACUGCCGUCCAAACUGCUUCGCUUGAGACCGGGAGAGGUGAGUGGAAUUCCCAGUGUAGCGGUGAAAUGCGUAGAUAUUGGGAGGAACACCAGUGGCGAAGGCGGCUCACUGGACCGGUACUGACGCUGAUGCGCGAAAGCGUGGGGAGCAAACGGG